rnacentral:rRNA from 1 species
ACUCAAAGGAAUAGACGGGGGCCCGCACAAGCGGUGGAGCAUGGGGAUUAAUUCGUCACUAACCGAAGAACCUUACCCAGGCUUGACAUCCGUCGUAAGUCCGGGAAACCGGUACCCCUUGCCCGAAAGGGUGAGCGGCGAGACAGGUGUUGCAUGGCUGUCGUCAGCUCGUGUCGUGAGAUGUUGGGUUAAGUCCCGCAACGAGCGCAACCCUCACGGCCUGUUGCCAGCGUAAAGUCGGGCACUCUGGCCGAACUGCCCGGGUAACCGGGAGGAAGGUGGGGAUGACGUCAAGUCGGCAUGGCCCUUACGCCUGGGGCUUCACCCAUGCUACAAUGGGCGCGACAGAGGGAUGCAAGCCCGCGAGGGGGAGCCAAUCCCACAAACGCGUUCUCAGUUCGGAUUGCAGGCUGCAACUCGCCUGCAUGAAGUCGGAAUCGCUAGUAACCGCCGGUCAGCUAAACGGCGGUGAAUACGUUCCCGGGCCUUGUACACACCGCCCGU